rnacentral:pre_miRNA from 1 species
UGGCUGGAAGGGCACGCGCUGCAGGGAGGGGCGGGGCGGACGCGGAGCCGUGGUUAGUCUCGCGCAGCAGUCGUGAGCGCGUGAGGGACCUGUGCUG